rnacentral:rRNA from 1 species
UGGCGGACGGGUGAGUAACGCGUGGAUAACCUGCCGUAUACUGGGGGAUAACACUUAGAAAUAGGUGCUAAUACCGCAUAAGCGCACAGUCUCGCAGGAGACGGUGUGAAAAACUCCGGUGGUAUACGAUGGAUCCGCGUCUGAUUAGCUUGUUGGCGGGGUAACAGCCCACCAAGGCGACGAUCAGUAGCCGGCCUGAGAGGGUGAACGGCCACAUUGGGACUGAGACACGGCCCAAACUCCUACGGGAGGCAGCAG